UUUAUACUCCCUCCGUCCGGAAUUACUCGUCGCAUAAAUGGAUGAAAAUGGACGUAUCUAGAAUUAAAAUACAUUUAGAUACAUUCAUUUCUCCGGCAAGUAUUUCUGGACGGAGGAAGUAUAUA
rfam:Triticum aestivum genome assembly, contig: Triticum_aestivum_CS42_TGACv1_scaffold_220592_3B